UACGAAGGGGGCUAGCGUUGCUCGGAAUGACUGGGCGUAAAGGGCGCGUAGGCGGAUUGCACAGUCAGAUGUGAAAUUCCCGGGCUUAACCUGGGGGCUGCAUUUGAUACUCUAGAGCUUGAGUACGGGAGAGGAGAGUGGAAUUCCCAGUGUAGAGGUGAAAUUCGUAGAUAUUGGGAAGAACACCGGUGGCGAAAGCGGCUCACUGGACCACAACUGACGCUGAGGCGCGAAAGCUAGGGGAGCAAACAGG
rnacentral:rRNA from 1 species